CCUUGGAGGGGCUCUGGUGCCCUAAACACAGACGCAGGAGAGCAAGUGAAGUGAGUGCACCAGCUGGAUGGCAGGAGACCAUUUCUGUUGGCCCUCUUUUUCUGGAGAAGGUCUCUCCUUUGUCCUCUGUAUCUCAGGCCUUGUCUCCUCGGCAAGAUGAAGUCUCUGCAGACUCCCAAUUCCAAGAUUCCAUCCUUGGUGCUGUUGUAGGUGUCCUGGCUGUCUCCUGUGUGGGUGUGCUAUUUUU